rnacentral:tRNA from 1 species
GCGGGCGUAACUCAAUGGUAGAGUGUCGGCUUCCCAAGCCGGAUGUUGCGGGUUCGAUCCCCGUCGCCCGCUCCA